UACGAAGGGGGCUAGCGUUGCUCGGAAUCACUGGGCGUAAAGGCGCGUAGGCGGCCGAUUAAGUCGGGGGUGAAAGCCUGUGGCUCAACCACAGAAUUGCCUUCGAUACUGGUUGGCUUGAGACCGGAAGAGGACAGCGGAACUGCGAGUGUAGAGGUGAAAUUCGUAGAUAUUCGCAAGAACACCAGUGGCGAAGGCGGCCAACUGGACCAACAC
rnacentral:rRNA from 1 species